ensembl:lncRNA
AGCACGCACAGAAGGGAAGCUAACAGGCGCCUGGUUUAGGCUGAUGUAAGAAUAUCUCUUUCUGUUUUUUCACCAGCUCGGAAAUUCACCUUAAUGGUAGGCAGUCACUAAGGACUUGGUUUCCAUGUACAGCAAACUUGUCUUUGUGUUCCAGAAAACCUUCAUGCUCUGCAGGGUCCCUGUUUUGCCCAACUUAGUAAGAGUCUGUGCUGCCAUAUAUGAAUGAUAUCGCAUAUGAAUCAUAUCAUAUCAUAUGAUAUUCAUAUAUGACUAUGAAAACUGUUACUGGCAGUUUUAACCAGAACUACACAGGCAUAGCCAGCUCACGAGGCAUACUAACAAAGUUAGCCACUGGGAGAGCCGCUGGGGGACUGUGGAGCAGAUUUAGGAGUAUUAAAUCCUAGGGAACAAAAUCGUGGCCAUUGAACGUCAUCUGUCAGCAUCUUAACUGUUGCAUCACACACACUUACAAGACCUGUUUGUUUUACUGUCAUCAGAGUGCUGCUUUGUCACAUUGCAGCUUGCAGAAUCAGGACAUACAGUUACUGGAAGUAACUGACAGUUAUUUAAGGUUAAGCCACAAAACCCUCUACUACAUUUCAUACUCCAAAAAGGUGAGGAAUGGGAACGAGGAGCUCAUUGCAAAGGUAUGUACCGCUGUCUGGUUGUUUUUUUCAGUACCAGCCAGUCUUAUCAUAGUCCCUGUUCAACAAAUGUGAAGCUGCUGUCUCAGGCAGUUGCAUGGUGUUUUAUAGAUGCUGGAAUGUGCCGUGCCACUGGCAUCACCUGAGGCAGAGGGAUCCAGAUAGAUCUGAGCACUGCGCAAUCAGCAGCAGCAUGAAGUUCAACAAAGAUAACACUACAAAAGCCAAAGCCUGGAAAUGGGGAUGAAGGUGUGAUUCCGCAUUGGUGAGGAAGUUGUACGUGGCAAGGAGAGCAUACCUCUGCUGGGGGAUAUCGGCUGACUCACCUCUACAAUGCAGCAAGACAGAACAAAGCCAUAGGAGAUUUUCACAGUGUUGUACUCAACCGAUGCAUAACAUGGUAAAAAUUUAGCAGUCCUUUAAAGUAACUUGUCAUUUUCUUAUAAUUUAUUAUUACUCGAAUCAUUUAUUCGCCGCACAUUAAAGCUAUUGCUAUAGAUUCCCUUGCAUAAAUCAUGAUGGCCAUUAAAAAUAGUUUCUGGAGGAGAGCAGUUUCUUA